AGCAUAUCAAUAAGCGGAGGAAAAGAAACCAACAGGGAUUGCCCCAGUAACGGCGAGUGAAGCGGCAAGAGCUCAAAUUUGAAAGCUGGCCCCCUCGGGGUCCGCAUUGUAAUUUGCAGAGGAUGCUUCGGGAGUGGCCCCCAUCUAAGUGCUCUGGAACGGGCCGUCAUAGAGGGUGAGAAUCCCGUAUGGGAUGGGGUGUCCGCGACCAUGUGAAGCUCCUUCGACGAGUCGAGUUGUUUGGGAAUGCAGCUCUAAAUGGGUGGUAAAUUUCAUCUAAAGCUAAAUAUUGGCCGGAGACCGAUAGCGCACAAGUAGAGUGAUCGAAAGAUGAAAAGCACUUUGAAAAGAGAGUUAAAAAGCACGUGAAAUUGUUGAAAGGGAAGCGCUUGCGACCAGACUCGCCUACGGGGUUCAGCCGGUAUUCGUACCGGUGUACUUCCCCGUGGGCGGGCCAGCGUCGGUUUGGGCGGCCGGUCAAAGGCCCUCGGAAUGUAACGCCUCUCGGGGCGUCUUAUAGCCGAGGGUGCCAUGCGGCCAGCCCAGACCGAGGAACGCGCUUCGGCACGGACGCUGGCAUAAUGGUCGUAAGCGACCCGUCUUGAAACACGGACCAAGGAGUCUAACAUCUACGCGAGUGUUCGGGUGUCAAACCCGUGCGCGCAGUGAAAGCGAACGGAGGUGGGAACCCUCACGGGUGCACCAUCGACCGAUCCUGAUGUCUUCGGAUGGAUUUGAGUAAGAGCGUAGCUGUUGGGACCCGAAAGAUGGUGAACUAUGCCUGAAUAGGGCGAAGCCAGAGGAAACUCUGGUGGAGGCUCGCAGCGGUUCUGACGUGCAAAUCGAUCGUCAAAUUUGGGUAUAGGGGCGAAAGACUAAUCGAACCAUCUAGUAGCUGGGUUCUG
rnacentral:rRNA from 1 species